AGGCCAUGAUGCAGGCAAAGUCUUAUCAUGUCUUUGUACCUUUCAUGAGCUUAAAAGAAGGAUUCUCCAUCAGCUUGUCUAAAACAAGUGAUUUGGUUUCUUAAUAC